GAUGAACGCUAGCUAUAGGCUUAACACAUGCAAGUCGAGGGACCGGCGCACGGGUGAGUAACGCGUAUCCAACCUACCCAUCACUAAGGGAUAACCCGGCGAAAGUUGUACUAAUACCUUAUGGUUAUGGAUGGGGAUGCGUCUGAUUAGCUUGUUGGCGGGGUAACGGCCAACCAAGGCACCGAUCAGUAGGGGUUCUGUGAGGAAGGUCCCACAGAUUGGAACUGGGACACGGUCCAAACGGCUACGGGAGGUAGCAGUGAGGAAUAUUGGGCAAUGGACGCUAGUCUGAACCAGCCAAGUAGCGGGCAGGAUGAGGGCCUAUGGGGUGUAAACGGCUUUUAUAUGGGGAUAGGUACCAUAUGAAUAAGGAACGGCUAAUGCCGUGCCAGCAGCCGCGGUAAUAC
rnacentral:rRNA from 1 species